rnacentral:rRNA from 1 species
CCCUUAGAUGUUCUGGGCUGCACGCGCGCUACACUGAUGUGUCCAGUAAGCACCUAACCUCUUCCGAAAGGAACGGGUAACCUUUGCAAAGCACAUCGUGAUGGGGAUAGAUUAUUGCAAUUAUUAGUCUUGAACGAGGAAUUCCUAGUAAGCACAAGUCAUCAGCUUGUGUUGAUUACGUCCCUGCCCUUUGUACACACCGCCCGUCGCUCUUACCGAUUGAAUGUUCCGGUGAGCUCUUCGGACUGCGCGGUCUGCAGUUUCUGCGUUCCGUGCGGAAAGUUGCGCAAACCUUAACAUUUAGAGGAAGGAGAAGUCGUAACA